CCAAUUGGGCGAGAAAUCGCUCUGUACCUGUUCGGCGGUCCUCACGGGCCGCUGACCGGUCAACCCUCUGUGAACCAAAAAACCCUUUCGCUUCGGCAGCUGGGCCUGACCGCCUGUCAGGCCUGCCGUUAGCACCAAACAUCCAAAACCUGUUGUAUAACGAAUGUCUGAUAACCAAAAUUUUCGAAUGAAAAUCA
rnacentral:misc_RNA from 1 species